UGCUUCUAUGGCAAGAUAUAUACUAAAAUUAUUAAACUAUAGAGAAGAUUAGCCUGACCCCUAAAUAAGAAUGGCAGUCAGAUUCAUGAAGCAUUCCACAUUUUA